AAGUAGAAAAAUCGAGCAGUUUUUUGUUCUUUUCUAUUUGACAUCUCCCGUUUUCAGCUUAGCGGGAGAUGGGAUUGCACGCACACAUGUCCAAGUUUUCGCGGAGACACGCACACAUUGAAACCAAUGGCAAAUAGCCUUCGCAUCGGAUUGAAACCGCGCCUACUUUCUCAAGUUUCCCAGUGCAUUGACUCCGUACAUAGCUGUGAAUUAUAGUAGAGAAUAUUAUAUACAGGAAAAUGUCUGAAGCGCCGGUCAACAACAGCAACAACAACAACAACAACGAUAGCAACAACAACAUCGUAAAACAUCAGCAUAAAAACCAUCUCAUACAAAUUGGUCCAGCAGAAAGACAGCAAUCGCGCGUUCCGGUUAGUGUAUCUCCAGGUGACACAUUAAAUUCACCUCCCCUGCUUGUUCGCACCACGUCCUUAUCCUUUCCAAGUUCUUCAGGAGUUCACAACAUUUCAUUCCCUUCUCUGCCCCCCAAAAUCACAACUCCCAAUCCAAUCCCAGUCCCUCCACGUACCUCUUCGUUGUUCCGUCCAACUUCGAUUGUGCAAAACGUUUCGUUCCGGCAUUCUGUUUCCCUCCCUCUCAGUCCUACCGUGCCACCACGCACGACUUCUCUGUCCCUUCCAUGUUCUCCUGUACAACCACCUGUGCCAAUCCGUCCUGAUCCAAUAGUUUUCGAUCGAUCAAGUUCCUUGCUCAAUUCUUCCGUUGCUUCGCAUGUUCCCGUCGUACCUCCUCGAACCAGUUCCUUACCCAUUUCCAACACCAAUCAUCCGACCCUUAAAAAAAAUCACCUGGAGAUACACAGUUAGACCGUUCAGAAAAGAAAAUAGAUAUUUUAUCAAAAGUAUGUUGCCACACUUCACAAGAGGUCAGCCUAGUUUUAAAAAAUACAAGCGGCAUGAAAAAUUCUGAGAGCUUACAGGGACACUUUAAAAGAUUAGAAACCCUAGAAAUGCUUGAGGAAAUGGAGGAAAAACUGAAAACGAACAGCAUUUUCAUGGCAGAAACAAUAUACCUGCUUGUAAAUAUAUUGAAAGGUAUCAGUGAUGUUAAUGAAAGAUUAUCCAGCACGUUAGAUCUACUCUUUGAUAGAGAGUUCUUUUCGUUGUUUACGUGGUCAGGAAAAAGCAUACCAGAACCAAAACUACCUUUGGAAAAAUAUAUACAUGUAAUAGCUCUUUUCAAAUUUGUAGGCGGUAGUAACAUGGUAUCAGUUUCAGAUGGAACUGUAAAAGAUUUUCUAGUUAAGAAACUUAACCAUGGAAAGGCACGAAGUGAUGUGAAAGGGUUACGACAUACGGUAAAACGUAAAAAAGAAGCUUAGAUUUAGAUAGAUAUAAUGGUCCAUUAAUUGUAAAAGUUUUUUUAUUGAAUUAAUGAUUUAGGCAUUUAUACAAUUAGGAUAUGAGUUGUGAUUCAAGUUGUGAUAUGAACUAUGUUGGAGUAAACGUAUAUGAAUUUUAUAAGUAAAAAUUAUAUAUGAAAUACCAACAAUGUGUUCUAGUUCUUAAGGCAUUUCCUCCUUGCAUUUUGCCUUAUCCCGGGCAUACUCGGCUAUUUUAUUCUAAUCAUUUUAAUACAAAACUAAACUAAUAAAAAUAUUUACAUAAACUUAAACCUUUACUACCUAUUCUAAGCCUAACAGCUUACAUAUAACAAUUAAGAUCUAACUUUCAAAUGUAUGUAAAAGAGGACUGAAAUAAAAUGUAUUACCCUGAUCUAAACUAA